AUUGAACGCUGGCGGCAUGCCUAACACAUGCAAGUCGAACGGUAACAGGCCCUUCGGGGUGCUGACGAGUGGCGGAUGGGUGAGUAAUACUUAGGAAUCUACCCUGUAGUGGGGGACGAACCCGGGAAACGUCGGCUAAUACCGCAUACGCUCUACGGAGGAAAGCGGGGGACCGGCAAGGCCUCGCGCUAUUGGAUGAGCCUAAGCCCGAUUAGCUAGUUGGUGGGGUAAUAGCCUACCAAGGCAAUGAUCGGUAGCUGGUCUGAGAGGACGACCAGCCACACUGGGACUGAGACACGGCCCAGACUCCUACGGGAGGCAGCAGUGGGGAAUAUUGGACAAUGGGCGAAAGCCUGAUCCAGCGAUGCCGCGUGUGUGAAGAAGGCCUGCGGGUUGUAAAG
rnacentral:rRNA from 1 species